rnacentral:rRNA from 1 species
GUAGUCCACGCCGUAAACGUUGGGCGCUAGGUGUGGGGGCCAUUCCACGGUCUCCGUGCCGCAGCUAACGCAUUAAGCGCCCCGCCUGGGGAGUACGGCCGCAAGGCUAAAACUCAAAGGAAUUGACGGGGGCCCGCACAAGCGGCGGAGCAUGUUGCUUAAUUCGAUGCAACGCGAAGAACCUUACCUAGGCUUGACAUGUGCGGAAAUCUGUCAGAGAUGGCAGGUCCGUAAGGGUCGCACACAGGUGGUGCAUGGUUGUCGUCAGCUCGUGUCGUGAGAUGUUGGGUUAAGUCCCGCAACGAGCGCAACCCUCGUUCUAUGUUGCCAGCACGUGAUGGUGGGGACUC